GUUGGAAGUAGUAGUUAUUCAAACAAAUCAACUCUUUUAUUUCCUUUUCAAUGGUGUACAUCUCAAAUUGGUGGAACAGACAGGUAGAAAAAUAAGAUUAUUAUAGAAAAUUCCACUUCUGAGAUGUAUAACAAUUUGGAGACUGAUCAGUAACUAAGAUUACCUCUUUUCAGAUGACAUGAACACCUCUACAGUCCUGCUCCUGGUCCUAUGGUGACAUAGAUUUAAAUCAACAUGAUACAUUAAAAAUAGAGGAAUAUUCCAAAAGGGAAAUAUAAAUAACCUGAAGCAUUUCCAGAAAUACAAGUGACACAUAUGAAUUGUGUAUUGAAGGAUGAAAAUCUGAGGUACACACGUAAAAUACAUUUUCUAAAGCACUACUUUCAGGACUUUUUUUAUUUUUUUAAGAAUACAAGGCUUUCAACUCUUUAGCCAAAACAUAAACACUGCUGGUGCAGAAAAGUCAUCCUUUUUGAGAAAAAAAUCAGUGGCUGCUUUACAUGAUUGAACAUAGGGAUUUUAAACUUUAAGUAUAUCUAAUGGUACAAAUUAACAGACAUAGUAGGAAAUACAUCAUUCUAGAUUACAAAAUUUCAUCUUUCAUUAGCACAUGGUAAAUCUCAUCCAUUUUUUCCCCUUCUCAUUAUGCUAAUUCCAACUAUAAAUUUCCAGCCUCCUUGAUAAGGAUGUGUAAAAUUAUAUCCACAGUUAGGAAAAAAAAAAUUAAACAUUCCAAGUCACCACUAGCAGCAAAGAACACCAAAUUGUGAAAGAAACUGGGGUUACCAAAGUUAUUUUUGGUGAUUCUCAUUACAAGUGAAUAGAUUCUUAAUUAGCUUUGCUUAUUUUUCUUUAACUCACAAAGAUAAUUUUUGAAAAGUUUUCUUAACUUUCACUCAGAAGUGUUGACUACCAGAAUGUGAGGUGCAGGUGAAAUUUUAUUCUAACACAUGAAAUGAAGCAAGCUGAAACCUUAGUUAUAUCAGGAAACCUUCAACUACCUCUGCACCUAACAUUUAAAAAGCAGGAAAAAAUAAGCCCUUUUUAGAUACUAGUUUCUCAUGUAAUUCUGAUCCAUGCAUGCAUCAUCAAUAAAAAAAAGUUAAAUUAUUCCAACCGGAAGGAAGGAAGUUCUGUGGAAAAAUAGCAAUGUCAAAUUAGGCUAGGUUCCAAAGAUUUUCAACAUUUCAAGUUUCCUUUUAAUGACAUCAAUAUGACAGCUGAGUUUGUAUUAAAAAAUCUAUUUUAUAAAUCUAUAAUUUGUAAUUAUAUGUUAUAAUUAUAAAUCUACAUUGGCAAAAUAUUCUACUCAGAUAGAUAUGUGUGGGGCACACCUGUGUGUUAGAGCUUCCCAGGUGGCACAGUGGUAAGGAAUCCACAGCCAACACAAGAGACACGGGUUUGAUCCCUGGGUCAGGAAGAUAUCCUGCAGAAGGAAAUGGCAACCCACUCGUACUUAAUCCCAGUAACUAGAGGUUUUGAAGAUACACUGCAUCACUAGGAGGCCUGGCUUUGCUCUCACGACCACAUCCCACAGUGUUGCUGACUUGGGGCAUCAGGCCGUCUCUGCUCGCCCCCCAGGAAGGCAUUCUUACCAAGGCUGAAAGCUGGGUUUGUGUACUAGCAUCUCCUGGGGAGUCCAGAGCUGCCUGAAUUCUGACAAGGAUGUGUGUGCUUUCAAAGCCAGUGUGGACCUGUGAGGAUGCUGGUGUCCAGGUGCCCUGAGGGAGGUUUCUGCUGCCCCCAAGCCCUUCUUCCUGGUCAUGUCGCUGACAGCAGGUAUCCCUGGAGAAGGAGUGUGCUCACGAAGCUGCAGGAUUCUGAGUCAGUGAACUGGCCGGCAGGGCUGGGUUGACAUGGCCGGAUGCUCAGAUCCUAAACUUCACCAGCUCCCUUUGGCUUGAGAUUCUUGACCCUGUCCCAUGAACUUCCCAGGGCAUGACCUUGAACCUGCAACCUAAGGAUCAUGUCCUGCUUGGGAGUUCAGAUCUCUCCAGUUGUGUUAGAAUAGAGGCGAUGGCUCCAAAGCAAGUUUCUCUGACAAAUUUGUACAUCCUGAGAGGUUCCUUUGGAAAAUUCCUAAGAAAGUAGGCUGCACCCCAAACUUGGGGGAAAUGAGUUUCCUAUGACAUCCUGGGAUGUUCUCAGUUCGUCCAGACCUUGGCCAUCAUCUGCUGACCAAGGGAUGUGACCUCUUAUUCCCAUUGCCCUUCCCAGGUUCCAGAAUUCUCCUAGUCCGAACCAUCACCUACUCCCUGUUUCUUGGAUGAACCAGUCUUCACCUGGAUCAGGAGUUUGGGUUUUUCAGAGCAAGAGGAAGGUACUGUCAAGGGGUGUUACCUUCACGUCCAGGUAAAGCCUCAAGAUCCUAAGGCCUGCCCAGUAAGAUCCUUUUUUACUGAGGGAAGAAAAAGUCAAAAUAAUAAUGGAAUCACAGCCUUUAAAGGAGGUGAGGACCUAGUUGAUCAUGAAUGCCUGAAGAAGAUGGCUCCUUUACCAACUCUAACAUUUAUCAUGCUCAGAUCUUUUCCAUCAUAGCAUACAAAACAAAGUGACCAGUCCCCUUUGAUGGAUGGAUUAGUCAGUACUGAGAUGCAUUCUGAGUGGACAUGGUUUACUAGAAAAGUGUCCUGGGUUACAGGACAGGAGUAAUGGAUUUAGUACCACCUUGCUUUGCAACUACCUGAAGUCGUUUACUAUCCCGAAGCCUUGUUGUUCUUUUCUGUAUAGUGAGGAAGCAGGGCUGCCUAAUCUAUGUCUUUGGGGGCCCUUGGCUUUGGCAUCAUUUGGUUGUACUCUAAGUAAAUGUCAGAGGCGUAUCUCUGAGACUCUGUUCUUAACAGCUAACUUCCCUAUUUUUAAACAUGAACCAGAAGAUCCAAUUUCAACCUGCAGCAAAGAAAAUUCACAGUGAAACGAUUGCCACAAUCCAUGAUGCGUCUCAAAUUUUCUAAGCUGAAAUCUAUACAGCUCUUGGGUGCUAAAUGUCUCCAUCUAUAAAAAGAGAUGGGUGGUAUUUCAGAAGCUUUGGAUACAUUAAGAGAAAGUUGUCAAUUUUAGCACUCUAUUAUUUUCCUAGCUUUAGGACACUUGGCCCAGGCAACAGAGAGGCAGUUGAAAGUACUGCAGUCCCUCAUACCUACUCCAGGCAUGGGAGACUGUGCUAAAGACCUCGGUUGGCCAGCUCCAUGAUUCACUGUGACUCUUGCCUUGUUUAUCUGAUCUGAGACUAGAAUAGUGACCGUCCAUAGGAGUGGAGGGUGAGUCGAAUACCCAUCACCCUCCCACCCACCACCAUUCUGAUCCACCAAGGCUACAGAAGGAGGUGAGGAUAUGGACCAUGCAUAUUUACAAAAGCUCCCCAAGAGGUUAUAAUCUAAGAGCUCCUACUCACUGCUCUCCUUCCUGCCUCAGCCCAUCCCUUAUAGAAAAGUCUAAUCCCAUAACUAAGUGGUGUUUGACAAACACAGAUUAUUAUGAAAACCAAAAUAAGACCCAGGGCAGGGGGAAGGGGAGUUCCCGAAGAUUUUUCAAGUUGCUGGUUGAUGCAAAGGUAGAAGUUUCUCCUGCCAUAAUACACAGAAACGAGAAUAAAACAACGCUCAAUUUAAAAUAUGCAGCGGAGGCCAGAAACAGACCCUAGUGCUGCAGUUUCAAUACCCAGAAAGUGGGGGGUGGUGGUGGUGGUGGUGCUGGUGGUGCUUGAUGCCAGCACCAAGGAGAGAGGUACUAGAGCCGAGAUGCCAAUGAAAGUCUGGCCCAUCAGCACAGGGAGCCAGAAAAUCUCUACCAAUAAGGAAGCCUGACUCUGUCCGAGGUUUGAGAAGGGGUAGAAGUUGAAGGGAAGGGAGAUUCUUCCAUGAGAAAUGGAACUUCCAAACCAGUACCUCAAGCAUGGCUGACAUAUCAGUUUAUACAACUUGGUAUAGAAACCCUAUACUUGGUUAGAAAACACCCAACAGAAAAAUGCAAAAUUGCUUUAUAGGAACAUUUUUACAAACCAAAGUGUACUGAAGUCUCUCAGAUGGAAAAAUAAAAGCACUUUCACCAAAGAUGAACUUUCCUGGUGGCUCAGACAGUAAAGCAUCUGCCUACAAUA